CUUUCAUUUCAUUGAACAAUGUUUUGUGAUUUAUGUCGCACCUUUUUAGAUAGUUUAUUCCUAAGUAUUUUAGUCUUUUUGAUGUGAUUGUAAAUGGAAUUAUUUUUUUCAGUUUUCAUUGCUAAUGUAUAGAAACACAGCUCGCCCUCAACAGCACGGGUCUGAGUUGUGCAAGUCUACUCAUAUGCAUAUUUUUUCAAUAAAUAUAUUGGGGGAAAUUUUGGAGAAUUCUGACAAUUUGAAAAAACUUACAAACUGUGUAGCCUAGAAAUAUAGUUUAAGAAACAGUUAGGUAUGCAAUGAAUAUAUAAAGUAUAUGCAGGCACUGCCUCUUCUAUCACUGACUGCCAACGCAAAUGGGGAAAGAAAAAAAACGAUAUAGAAGCCCUUUUAGAGACACGACAAGGACAAAGUGCCAGCAUCAUGACAAUGUAUUUCCGGUGUGUGGUGCAGUGGGGAGAGCCUACCUAGCGGCGGUGACAAGCCUGCCGGACACUUCUGUGCCAUCGUCCCGCUGCCCCGGUAUCCACCGCGUAGGACAUCGUAUGAGAGCCUGUCCUGAAGUGGAGAGCCUGCUCCCUUCCACAAGCAUGAGACCCCACGGAGGCCCACGGCAGCACCGGGCAGACCGGGGAGCAGACCACAGAGGCCCUCCUCGUUGCCUUCCCCCAGGAGCAGCUCUAGUGACUGUUAAUGCUGCAUGUUAACUGUGCUGGGCCCACGGUGUGAACAGGCAUGUGCCUCCAUUUCCCGUUUACCCCUGUGCUUUCUCCUGCUCCUCGACCUACCCCAGCGAUCUCAUGGCGCCUUCCUUAUGUUUUCUCCUUUGAUUCCAAUGUAGAAAGUAAACUGCUAAACUGC